rnacentral:tRNA from 1 species
AAAUAUGAAGCAAUAUAUUGCAAUCAGUUUCGACCUGAUCCCUAAGUAAAAAAUACUCUUAUUUA